CUUAAAGCUCCCCCGCCUCGCCUCUUUCGAGCGCACGCCCGUAACAAACUCCCACGCCAGCCGCGCCACCACCGCACCACCGGGCUCUCGAACCUUCUGGAACGCGCGGGCGGGCGAGCGGGAGAAACCCUAGUCUGGAGGACGGUGUGCGCCCCGCGCUGGCCCGUGGCGAUGGCGGUGGCGGCGGGGGGUGGCGACGGCGCCGAGGAGGGCGUCGGCGAGAGCUCGUCUCCGCCUCGAGAAGCGGUGCCCGCGCCCGCUGCCUCGGGUGGGAGCGGCGGCGGAGCGGGAGGCGGGGGCCUCCGCGACAUCUGCCGCGAGGUGUUCGAGCGCCUCGUCGCCGACGGCCACAUCGAGGCGGUGGGGGCGUCCGGCCCCGAGAUUCGCGCCCAGCUGGAGGCCCACUUUAACCGGCUCCCUACCAGCUAUCAGCUGGAUGUGAAUGUUGACAAAGCAGAGGACGUGUUAAUCCAUCAGAAGGUUUUGGCAGAAGCAAAGGAUCCUGAUAGGCGCCCAGCAUUUGUUGCGCGUUUCCUCAUGCUUGAAGAGGUAAAUGUGGAUGAGACAACUAACUCUGAUGCACAUGAAGAAGGGGCUGACAUUGGUGAAGCUCUUUCUACCAGGUCAGAGACAUCAUACACACACAUUCAUGAGAUAGUCUUCUCCACUACCGACAAGCCCAAGCUCCUUAGUCAGCUGUCUGCUUUGCUUUCUGACAUUGGACUGAACAUCAGGGAGGCUCAUGUGUUCUCAACAACAGAUGGUUAUUCUCUUGAUGUUUUUGUUGUUGAUGGUUGGCCCAUUGAGGAUACCAAUGGUUUGCAUAAGGCACUAGAAGCAUCAAUUUUAAGAAAUGAGGGCUCAUGGUCUGGCUCUGAUUCAUCAACUUCAGAGAAAUCACUGCCAUUCCAAGCAGAAGGUUGUGAAUCAGAUAUUGACACAAGACUUCUGAAGAUUGUAAAGAAGGUUGCUUCUGGAUCUUGUGGGGAUAUGUUUCUUGGGACUUACGCUGGUGAGGAGGUUGCUAUUAAAGUCCUUAGUCCUGAGAAUUUGAACCAAAAUGCAUGGAAUGAAUUUAAGCAAGAAAUCUGCAUAUUAAGGGAAGUUGAUCAUCCCAAUAUUGUCCGAUUCAUUGGCUCAUGCACAAAGCCACCUCAGUUUUACAUAAUUACAGAAUGCAUGUCUAGAGGAAGCCUGUUUGAUUUCUUGCACAAUGAACAUAAUGUCUUGGACCUCCCAACAAUUCUGAAGUUCGCACUAGAUGUCUGCAGAGGGAUGUCUUACUUGCAUCAGAAGGGCAUCAUUCACAGAGAUUUAAAGUCUGCCAACCUUUUACUGGAUAAGGAUCAUGUUGUGAAAGUGGCAGAUUUUGGUCUAGCUCGUUUCCAGGAUCAAGGGGGUGCUAUGACAGCUGAAACUGGGACCUAUAGAUGGAUGGCACCUGAGGUUAUAAAUCAUCAGCCCUACGACAACAAAGCAGAUUUGUACAGUUUUGCUCUUGUACUUUGGGAGCUCACGACAUCCAAGAUUCCAUAUACUACCAUGAGUCCCCUCCAGGCAGCUGUAGGUGUGAGGCAGGUUGGUUUUUACAAUCUUACUUCUGUAGUAGAUACAUCUGUUCAUACUUCAUAUGCUUUUUCACUUUCAGAAGUUAUUCUUAACCUGAAGGUGGAACAAGGGAUUGCGCCCACAGCUUCCAGAAAAUGGACAUCCCAGGCUAUUAAACUUGAUGCAGAGAUGUUGGGAAGCCAUUCCAUCUGACCGACCUUCUUUCUCAGAUAUAAUUUCUGAACUAGAGUAUAUUCAGUCACAACCUCAGGGAACAUCAGGGGAGACAAGCCAGAAACAGAAGGACGUUGACCUAGGCACUAAAGAUUGACCCUCAGCACAUACUUGUUGACAGUUUUUCCACUAUCUGGUUGGCUGAGUUAGGAUCCGCAGCACUAACAUUGGAGAAAGUAGCAUAUCAAUUUUCGGCCCAGUUUUGUCUGCACUUGUAGGGGCCUAAUUUCUCGGUCUUACUCUCAUCCUUACUGUAUUAGCAUCAUUCUGAUUUUCGGUCUUACUCUCAAAGAGGAAAUCAGAAUGACCCGCCUGUUGAGUUUUCGGGUUGCGAUUUGAUAUGUGAACAUUCGGAUGAGCAUUCACAAAAUGGUGGUGGAUGUUUUGAAUACAACAGCUGCUGCUUAUAUGUAGUUACAUGUCAUCCAUUAAGUGACAAAAGCAUUAUAUGA